rnacentral:rRNA from 2 species
UGCAGUCGAGCGAUGAAACCCCUUCGGGGGUGGAUUAGCGGCGGACGGGUGAGUAACACGUGGGUAACCUGCCUCAAAGUGGGGGAUAGCCUUCCGAAAGGAAGAUUAAUACCGCAUAAAGCCAAGUUUCACAUGGAAUUUGGAUGAAAGGAGUAAUUCGCUUUGAGAUGGACCCGCGGCGCAUUAGUUAGUUGGUGGGGUAAUGGCCUACCAAGACAGCGAUGCGUAGCCGACCUGAGAGGGUGAUCGGCCACAUUGGAACUGAGAUACGGUCCAGACUCCUACGGGAGGCAGCAGUGGGGAAUAUUGCACAAUGGGCGAAAGCCUGAUGCAGCAACGCCGCGUGAGUGAUGAAGGUCUUCGGAUUGUAAAGCUCUGUCUUUUGGGACGAUAAUGACGGUACCAAAGGAGGAAGCCACGGCUAACUACGUGCCAGCAGCCGCGGUAAUACGUAGGUGGCGAGCGUUGUCCGGAUUUACUGGGCGUAAAGGGUGCGUAGGCGGAUGUUUAAGUGAGAUGUGAAAUACCCGGGCUUAACUUGGGUGCUGCAUUUCAAACUGGAUAUCUAGAGUGCAGGAGAGGAGAAUGGAAUUCCUAGUGUAGCGGUGAAAUGCGUAGAGAUUAGGAAGAACACCAGUGGCGAAGGCGAUUCUCUGGACUGUAACUGACGCUGAGGCACGAAAGCGUGGGUAGCAAACAGGAUUAGAUACCCUGGUAGUCCACGCCGUAAACGAUGAGUACUAGGUGUAGGAGGUAUCGACCCCUUCUGUGCCGCAGUAAACACAUUAAGUACUCCGCCUGGGAAGUACGAUCGCAAGAUUAAAACUCAAAGGAAUUGACGGGGGGCCCGCACAAGCAGCGGGACCAUGUGGUUUUAAUUCCAAAGCAACGCGGAAGAACCUUACCUUGGACUUGACAUCCCCCUGAAUAACCUAAAAAAUAGGCGAAA